AAAACUAGCCGUUACUCACCCUGGAAAGGACAAAAAGUACAGUUGCAGAACUAGCCGUUACUGUUCAGCCCGUGUUUGGGUCGGCUCAACCUGUCCUUGGGUCGACCCAACUUUGUCUUGGGUCGACUCAAACAUUCCUUGGGUCGACCCUCUCAGAAACCACAGAAACUUCAAUUUCAGCCUUCCUUCCCAUGGGUCGACCCAACCAUUCUUUGGGUCGACUCAAAGUCCAC
rnacentral:lncRNA from 1 species